rnacentral:rRNA from 1 species
UACGUAGGGGGCAAGCGUUGUCCGGAAUCAUUGGGCGUAAAGCGCGCGUAGGCGGCCGGUAAGUCCGCUGUAAAAGUCCAGGGCUCAACCCUGGAAAGCCCGGUGGAUACUGUCGGGCUAGAGUCCGGAAGAGGCGAGUGGAAUUCCUGGUGUAGCGGUGGAAUGCGCAGAUAUCAGAGGAACACCGAUGGCGAAGGCAGCUCGCUGGGACGGUACUGACGCUGAGGCGCGAAAGCGUGGGGAGCGAACAGG